GCAGACAUGGAGCUAACACUGAGGAAGCCAUUUCGGAUCGAAAUCUGGAAUUUAGUACGGAGACCUUAACACAGCCAUAAGCAGUUUUCAAUAGAAGGGAGCUGGAGUUUGGUUUAACAUUACCGGACGAAUCCAUAGGAACUAGCUGUUUCGUUGAUAGUUCCAUUAACUUUGGUGGUAGUUACUGCUCCGACGGUAUUUCUAAGGCUUCCUUCUCGAGAACAAUUUCCAAUUACCAGCUGGAGGAAGAUUGUGGGGCAACGGAUGUGACAUCGCAUGUAAGGGAAUUUAAUGGUGGUCUAAUAGAAGAGUCAAUGAGGAAAUAUUGUGAAGAUAAAAAAAAGUGUCAUGUUCGAGCCUGCUGUUGGAAUGGAGUUUUCAUCUACAGAGGAAGCAUUCCAGUUCUACAACAUAUACUCCUGGGUUUUAGGGUUCAGCGUCAGAUUAGGUGAUAACUACACAACCAAGACAAAGCAAAGGACAAUGCAAGAAUAUCUUUGCCAGCGACAGGGCAAUGGUGAUGAGACCAAAAAUUCAACAACCAGGUGUGGUUGCAAAGCAAUGAUGAGGGUGGCAACAAAUGAAAGCUGUAAGUGGUAUGUGAAAAAGAUUAUUGUUGAACACAACCAUGAUAUGGUUGAGAGUUGUGGAGAAAUUUUUUUUUGGCUUCACAUAGACAGAUAGACAGGCACACAAAGGAGAUGAUAAGGUAUCUAAGAGAGAACAAUGUUAGCCUUACAAGAGUAAAUUUAGUUAUGGGUAGCUUGUUUGGAUCAAUGGAUAAAGUUCCUUUCAGUAAGAAGACACUGAGAACUGUUUGUUCAAACAUAGCAAAAGAAGCUCUUGUCGAUGAUGUACAAAAAACUUUGCAGUCAUUCAGGGGAAAAUAUAUCCAGAGAUCCUAGGUUUGUUUUCACAGCAGAGUUAGAUGAAGACAACAUACUUAAUUCACUAAUGUGGACCAGUGGUAGAAGCCGGUCACUGUACCAGCAUUUCGGAGAUGUCAUAACUUUUGACACGACGUAUGAGACUAACAUAUGUAAAAUGUCAUUUGGCAUGUUUGUGGGUGUGAACAAUCACUUCCAGAGUGUCAUAUUUGCGGGUGUUUUGUUGACUAACGAGACCGCAGCGAAUUUUAAAUGGGCAUUUGAGGAAUUUGUAGCAAUGAUGGGGGGGAAGGCACCGCAAACAAUGCUUACAGAUCAGAGCUUGGCGAUGACAAUUGCCAUAAAGGAGAACUUGAAGAGUACUAACCAUAGGUGGUGCAAGUGGCACAUAUUAAGGAAGGCGCAAGAGGCCUUAGGACAUGUUCACAAGUUACAUAGCACUUUUAGUGAUGACUUCAACAAGGUAGUUAACCACAUGUUAACUCCUGAAGAAUUUGAAUCCGGCUGGGAUUAUUUGACCAAGAAGUAUGACCUAGCUGGUAACCCUUUCAUGACAAGAGCGUUUGAAGUGCGGGAGAAGUGGGCUAAGCCAUAUUUUAAUGAUAUUUUUGUGCAAGAAUGUCAAGUACUCAGAGGAGUGAGAGCGCAAACCAUGUGCUCAAAGUAUAUGUUCCAUGCAAGUCUUCAAUAAACAUGUUUGUCAGGCAGUAUACUAAGCUUAUUGACGAUAGAGAAAAGGCUGAUGACGAAGCCGAGAAAAACAGA